UGAAACUAAAGUAAGAAAUUGAGAAGCAGCUUCUGAUUGGUGGCACCUUCAAUGGCCGCCAAGCAUGCGCAAAACAUCGAAUUGCCGUCCGGUGGCCGGUGCCGUGUUUUGAAUUUUGAACUUCGCUCUCUCUGUUAUCAUCCAUCUUUGAGCUAGUGUGCGUGUUGUGAUUGUUUACAAAGGUUUUUAUACAAGUGCAUGAAAAUUAUUGUUCAAUAUCCUUGAUGUGAUAGUACGACACCUCUUGAAUCAUCCAAUUCGAAUAGUGAUUGAAAGAAUGUUUGAAUGCAGUUCGCCUUUAUCUCGAUGGUUGAUUUAUGCAGGUAAGUAGAAAGAUUCCUAUAUGAAGAUGAAAGUGAAUGUGGCAGCCAGACAACUGAGUCACACUGUAGCAGCAGCUAUUGAAACUUUCUGUGCGUCUGGAUAUAUGGAGACAAACGCGUUGCAUACCGCUGAGUUUUGUCAUCAGAUUGAUAAUCUAUUCGAUUCAUUGAAUAGUUCGCAGUUUCAUAAUUCGGAUGGAAAAAAAUAUCGAUCUGCAUUGUCUGACAACUCGCCUCAUUUAGAAUUUUGGUCGGAUAUGUUGCCCAAAAUUAAUAAUUGGAAAAUUUUUCGUAAUGGGAAGUGUAGUAAACAUUUUAAAUUUGUUCAGGGGUGGACUAUCACGAUAAGGUCUAUUAUGGAAUUAUGGAAACUCUUGCGGUUUGAGGGUUUGACGUUUUUGAAUUUAAGAAAUUUCAAUCAGGAUCCUAUUGAAAAUUUAUUUGGACAAAUAAGGCAACAUGGAUUUGGCAAUACAAAUCCAAAUUCUUCACAAUUCGUGGCAGCUCUUAAAACUUUAGUAAUCAAUAAUUUAAGUUCACCGGUGUACAAGUCCUUUAACUGUGAAAACGAUUUUUGUGAUUCAUUAGGGAAUUUUGGGGAUUUUAUUAGUAAAUAUAAUAGGGA